UCGCUUCUAAUUUGUUUCAUUUAUUCUUCGUCAGUUGGUUUCGCAAGGGCUGGGUUACACAUAUAAUCAGUGCCCCCCUUUUUUUUUUUUCAAUAUUGCUGUAAUUUUUUCAUUCAAUUGAUGUAGUUGUGCUUCAUUAUUUUCAUAUAACUAAGAUUCUGAAUAAAGCCAAGGAUCUCUAUUGUUGGUUAUUGAUUGUUUGUAUUGUUUUUUGAAAUUGGGUUGCAGAAAACAGAAGAAGUGUUGCUGGGUUUUGGAUUUCAGUGAUUGAAGUUUUCAGUAUUGUGGACUGGAGUAUCUCCCUGUUUUUGCUUUGUUGAUUGGAUUUUGCCGCAUCCAGCAUCGACUUAAUUAGGGAUAUUGUUUGUUGUGGAGUUUGCGAUUUCAGUAAUUGGUUGGAAGAGGUUGGAGGUCAGAUUUUGAUGAAAAUAAUGAAGCACAACUACAAUUAUCAGUUUUGGGUUUGGGAUCAAUUUUGGUCUUCAAUUAUCAAAAAACAAUUGUUUUCAAUCUAUAUCCUUAUUUAUUCAUUUAUACUUUUAAUAAUGGCUCUGCUUUUAAUAAUGGUUUUGUUUUGGUUGUGGCUCACGGAAGCACAAAUUUCCGCGAAAUGUGCACAUUAUUUGGAGUCCAGGAGAAAUUCAAGAAGUUUCCAGGGAAGUUCAACCAAAGUUCAGUUGGGAGUCCUUGAGUAAAAUUUCGCAUCCAACUGAACAACACUACCAACUGAACUUUGCCUGAACUUCCUUGCAGACUCCUUGCACUCCCUCUUAGAUUAGAUCUUUACUUCAAUUUCCAUAACUUAUGUCUGCUUCAUUUUCAGUUUCAUAUCAAUUUCAGUUUCAUUAGUAUCAUAUGAACUCCCGCAGCAAAGCGCGGGAAACUGUAUCUAG